UACGUAGGGUGCGAGCGUUGUCCGGAAUUAUUGGGCGUAAAGAGCUUGUAGGCGGUUUGUCGCGUCUGCCGUGAAAAUCCGAGGCUCAACCUCGGACUUGCGGUGGGUACGGGCAGACUAGAGUGUGGUAGGGGAGACUGGAAUUCCUGGUGUAGCGGUGAAAUGCGCAGAUAUCAGGAGGAACACCGGUGGCGAAGGCGGUUCUCUGGGCCUUACCUGACACUGAGGAGCGAAAGCGUGGGGAGCGAACAGG
rnacentral:rRNA from 1 species